ACAUGGCAAGAGGUGAAGCAUAAUAAAACUACCUAUCUAGGCAAAUUUAAAUGAGGCCGGAAGAACAAACAAUAAUUCCGGAAAAUCCCCAUAAGUAAUAUUCAAAUUUGGUACUGUUCUGCCCUAAAACAUAUUUUAAAGUUGUUAAACAGGAAAAUAAAGUGGACCAGGUUAAACUAGGCAUUUUUUCACCCCAUUUACAUAUAAAGUUUAUUUAAAACCGAGCUACGGUUAUUUAGUUAUGAAAUAAAUCAUUUUAACAUGGUAUUUGAGCAAAUUUAAACAAACAGCAUUUUAAACAUUUUAAACUGGGAUGAAAAUGGCAUAUUAUUAAUCUACACAAAAUUCUAAGCAUUUUACAUAUAUAAAUCAUUUUAAUCCGAUGCACGGUUUGUGAGAUAUUAAAUGCAUGAACAUGAGGGUUUUUCUGCAAAACAGUUAAAUUACUGGAUAAAGCGAAAUUUGCAAAACUGAAAAAAAAACAAGACAUGGGCCAGAUCUGCUGGGCACUGGGCCGCUCACCAUGGGCCAUGGCCCAGAUCGGAGGAGAGGCCAAAGCAGGCCGGCUGGGCGCUGGGGACUUGGCACUCCCGAGGCCACGCGGCUGGGCCGGAUCUAGCGAAAGGGAGGUGACUCGGGCGCGUGCGGUCGGUCGUGGGGCUUGACGCGGUCAACGCGAGCGAGGAGUGGGACGAGGCACUGGUUCAGGCGAGCGAAGAAGAGGCCGGCGACGCCAUGGACAUGCGAAGGCGAAGCCUCUCCGGCAAGGCGAGGAUGGGGCGAAGGCGACCCGUUCCGGUGGUUCAGGGACGCGGCGCCUCGCCGGAUCUGGCGGAGAUGGUGACGAACGGAGCAGGGCUGCGGCGGGAGCUGCAAGGCCAUGACGGGGAGAAAUUCAGAGAAAACAGGAAGGAAGAAGAACGAGGGAAGGAGGUGGGGCAUGGCACUGGACCCAUGGCUGCCGGAGUCGCGCUCGCCGGCGCGGAGGAGGAGGCCAGGGCGGCGAGGUCCUGGAGACCCUUGGCUUGGGCGCUCGGCCUGAGGAGCUCGGAUGGCGGCGUCCAUAGCGGCAAACAGAGAAGGCUUGGACGAGGAAGCAGGGGCUCGCGAGGGGUGCUCGGGGUUGCGGAGGAGGAGCGGAGAUGCGGCAAGGCUACGGUGGAGUAGUGGAUCGACCAGGAGGAGCUGCGGCUUGCUGUGGAUGAGCUCCGUCUCGAGGGGCUCCUGCUCGGGCACGAGCGUGGAGAUGUGGGGCUGCGGCCAGAGGAGGUCGUCGGCUGCGAUGGCGCGAGGGGACGAGGCCGAGCGCUCCUGCUCGGGACCUCGAGCAGCUUCAGGGAGCAGGGCAGGGGAGGCGGAGCUCGAGCAUGGCGUCCAUGGGGUUUCCUGUGGGCAAAGGAAGAGAGAGCGGAGAGAUUAGAGAGAGAGACGGUGAGAUGGAGAGGGAAAAAGAGAGGGCUGGGGCGCAAGACGGGCGACCUGGCAACACGCUCCGGCGAGGCGGAGCUGACGAGGAAGUGGCUGGAGCGAGGGUGUCGGGGAGGCAGGAGGCCUCGAGUGGAGUGGAUCGAGGAGGGGAUGGAUUUGGUUGGCUGGACUGAAAUCGAGGAGGAGGGGAUGAGAAGCUUCACGCGUUGGCUCGGGUUCGAUCCCGAGGAAGGAGGAGGCUGGUCGGUGGAUGGAUUGGGCAGGAGAUGAAAACGAGGAGGUGGCGGCGGAUGGGACGGAUAGAAUGGAUGGGACGGAUAGAGCUAGGGUUUGACUGCUUAAAUAGCUAGGUGGACUAGGCUAGGGACUAUUUGGUCCCUCUGAUCGUAAUCGGAAGGUCGAGAAAAACAGGCUAGGGAAGCUCAAAUAAGAAAACGGAGAUGUUUUAUAGAUGUUUGGGGAUGAACUGAAUCCAACGAUGAUGACUGAGCAGGUCGGGUUCAGGACAACUUUCGGACGCGCGCGAGGGAUUUGAGUAUUGUGCAAAGAGGGUCAAACGGUCAGCCAACAACAGAAUGGUCGGUCUGAGAAAGGUCAACAGAGACGAGGAAGAAGCGGCAACUAACAACGGAUGCACGUUUUAUGAAAACAUGUAGAUGCAAUGCGCAUGAUGCUAUGAGAUGAAAUGCAAGACAUGAACACAAUGCAAAACAAACAACAAAAACCCAACCACGAAGGAAAUAUCAUAUCGCAUCUCCGGAAAAAGGCAAGAGUUGGAGUUACAAAUAUGGAAAGUUGUAUCCGGGGCGUUACAACACUCCACCACUACGAGAGGAUCUCGUCCCGAGAUCUAGGAUGGCACCGGAGGGAAAAGGAAAAGGAAGAUGAUAGGUAAACUAAGUUGCUUCUUCGACAAAAGAGUGAAACCAAAGAACCUUCAGAGGUUGAACAAAUGAAAGAAAGGAAACAACGAAGAUGAGCAAAGUUGAAAACACUCUACUAGAAAAGAGGAACAAGGGAUACGACGAGAACCAAGAGGUUCAGUGAUAAGAUAGAUAUUGAAACCACUCCGGUUAAAACAAGAUGAGAGAGGAAGAAUUCGGGCAGCACUCUGGUUGAACAUGGAAGGAAUAGAACAUGAACUUGGCAAAAUGAAAGCACUUGGAUGAGACUCCGGUUAAAAGAGGAAUGAUAGACACAACGCUCCGGUUAAAUGGAUAAGCAAGGAACAGAACAUGAUCUUGACAAAACAAGAUGAUUAGUGAAGAUAGCAACAUCACAAUGCCUUCGGAACGAAAGAAUAGAAGCUAGAUUGUUGGGAUAAAGGGACGGAAAAGAAAAUGACAAUUUCUGCCACAAAUGAACUUGGAAAGCAUCCUUGCAAAGAAGGAUUAGAACGGAGUUGUUGGAAAACCAACAACGAAAAACACAAGCUUGUUGUGGGCUUAUGGCAAACAUCUCAAAAUGAUGAGGUGACAACCGGCCACCGAUGGAAACAGUUAAUUGGAUUGAGAUCAGCAAGGAGAUGAAAACUCCUUUUAAUGAGAGAAUAUGAGGAAACUUGGAUUAUCGAUAGGCACCACGAAUAGCAACAUUCCCAAUGGAAGGCUUUAGGUGAAAUCUGACACAAGAUAACUCCAACGAAGAGAUUGGUGGGUUUAAAAUGUCUCAAUCUUGACAACAUGUGAAUCAUGAAACACGAACUCAAAUUGUCAAGAAUGACAUAACACCACCUCAAAAGAUAAGGUAGAAAGAAUUGCACUUUGGAAUGCAAGAUGAAGAUUACUUGAACUCCUCAAAACAAAACAUGUGUUGAGCACCAUGUUUAUUUUAGAGUAUAGCUUGACGGAUCAUAAAUUCAAGAGAAAUCUUGAAGAACAAUUGAAGAAUGAAAAGAAUCAUUGACGAACCACCAUGUAGAGCCUCCAUGAAGAACUCCGGUAAUAAAAGGAUGAUAAAAAUAAAGAGAGGUUUAAAACACAAGGUGAAGCCUUGCGAUGAUUUAGAUGGAGCUUCGCGAUGAUAUAACCGAGAGAACUUGGAACUCCGAAAAGAAAAGAUGAUCUUAGAACCGAGAAUUUAUUCCUGAAGAACAAACUCCAAAGGAAACAAUUAAUCACUUGGAUGAAACAAUAAUAAGAAUUACGUUAUGCCUAUCCUUCACCAAUUUAAAUUGAUGACAAGCAACGGAUUUGGCAUACUACUUAUUCUCGUAGAAAGGAUUAAGAGGGAUAUAGCGUAAACUUGAGAAGGUAUUGAUGGAACCACCGGUGGGAUUUGGAAACAACGAAUAUUUGAUAUGAUAACGAGGGAAGUGAAAUCUUGAACGAACCACCGUAAGAAUUCAAAAUGAAAGUAGCAAAGGCACAAUUCACCGGGAAGAGUUGGAAAAUGAAUGAAGAUACUUGAGGGGAUUUAGAUACCUGAGAACGAAGAGAUCAUGAACUGAUUAGAGGAUAUUUGAACGAUGCACCGGUAAGAUUUGGAGAAUGAUAGCUACACGCUGAGAAUGAAGAAUUAUGGCAUGAUGGCCUUCGGAGGAAAGAAAUGGAAACAACUCAUGAAAUGCUCCGGAUGGUAAGAAAAGAAUUGUCACAAUCAAAACAAUUAUGAGAGGAUGGCAUCAAGCUAGAACUACACAUCUUGAAGAGAAUGGAGCAAGGUUUAAGAGAAAUCCUUCUUCGGUCUUCACAUGCUGAGAAUGACGAGGAGAAACACCACCAUGAAUUGUUGAGACACUCCGGAAGGAUUAAAAGAGGAAAAGUUGAGCCAAAGAUGAAAAUAAUUUGAAAGAUCUUGGAGAAAGACAUAUGACUGAUGAUAACCCAUUCUUACGUCAAACUUUGAAAAGAAUUUUAGAAGCUCCGAGAAAAUUAGAAGAGUCAGGUAAGAUCCUGGGAAAAGACCUGUGGGUUAGGGCCCACUGAAAAGAAACACACCGUUGAACAAUUUUCAAAGAGAGGUUUCACCGGUUGAAUUAAAUGACUUGAAUGAGAUAAUAAUCUCCAAAUAACUUGAACGGGCUUUGAAUGAAAAGAUGAGCCUUCUGAGAUAUCUUCAGCACUCCAAAACAAAUGGAUAGGAAGAAGUGAAUGAUUAAGAGGUGCAUCGGCAUGAGAAAGCAUUAGAAACGAGGAGAAGAAUAUGAUGAAUAUCGAAAGCUUGAAUUGGAUCCACCGGAGAAGAAUACGAGAAUGAAGAAUGAUGAACUUGAAGCUCGUGAGCAUCUACACGAGGGAACACCGGAUCAGAACAUUGAUUGAAAAGAGUGAAGUGACUUCACAUGAAUAAAUGGAUACUUGAUUAAAAUAAAUGAGUCCUUGAAGAAAAGGGUGGGAGGGUGGGGAUAAAUAAAGACAACUUGGGAUGAACGAAACAUACACCGUUGAGAAAAACUUAGAAUUGAUCUCACAAAUGUUGAAAUGAUCGGAUCCACUUUAAGAGAAGCACGCCGGUUGAAAAAGAAUUAACAUGACAACCUCAAUGAUCAAAAGGAUUAGUAUUCACAUAGCAAUAUGAGAACACCGUUUAGGAAAGGUAUGGAUUCAACAUUUGACUUCGAAGCAACUCGAAUACCACAAAUAAAACAAAACAAAGGAUUUGGCUUGCAGAAUAAGCCGGAACAAAUACAUAUGAUAGAGAUUUACCCAAUCCCAUAUCAUGCAUCUGUCGGAAAGAUAUUCUAGGAGCUACUUGAAUUCCCACCUAUAAACUCCCGAAACUUUCUGGUUAUGCAAUCUGGUGUUGGGGAUACAGGGGAAGCAAUAUAUCUCACCCAAACUAACAAUACCUACAUCCAAGUUGUAUCCAUCCGUCAACACGUAACCAAGAAAACUCCGGAAAUCGUGUACCUCAACCUUCGAAAAGCAUCCGUUAUACGAGCUAUGGCAAUACUCCCGAACUCCCCAGUACUGGGUGACGUCGAGGUUAUCUCACCAACAACUGCAUAAAAGAGAUUUUCGAUGUCGGCAAAACUCAGGUAUUCCAGAACUGCAACGAUAAAAUUAUGACGACAACACCUCGGAGCUCAACUCCCCGGGACACUGCCACAAUCCCUAAAUGACAGGAGGCACCAAGAACAAUGUUCUCAUCAUAAGAAUAUCGGAACGAUCCCAAGAUACCCGCGUGAUCCUAAAAAAAAUUUAGUGAAAUUUGAGGAGAGGAAAGACAAAACAUCUACGUCAGGAGUCCUCACCAGAGCGAUGAAGGGGGCUGAGGAGUAAAAAGAAUUCCUACUCUCCGAUAUAUAUAAUCCUAAGACUCAAAAUAGUUUUCUUCUAGACUCAACAACGGCCAACAAACAAGGGGGCUCCUAUGGUCGGUCGAGGCUCUGAUACCAACUUGUCACGCCCAAGAUGCGACCCUAUCCUAAAGGAACUCGAAGGUCCCACCAAGGAUAGAAGCGCAUCUUGAAGACGCUUUUGCAAGGUGGAUAUCAUUACAUCAACAUUACAUAAUAGUGGGGAUACAUCCAAGACAUACAAUGUCACAUGAAUACAACAAUACAUCAUAUACAAGAUCAACAUCCGACUACGGAUGAAACAUAAACAGAAACUCAAACAAUAUCCACCCUGCUAGCCCAGGCUGCCGACCUGGAACCUAUCCCCUGAUCGAAGAAGCAGAAGAAGAAACUCCAAAACAAGCAAACAUCGCUCUCGCGUCAUGAUCAUCGCAUAACCUAUACCUGCAACUGUUGUUGUAGUAAUCUCUGAGCCACAGGACUCAGCAAUCCCAUUACCAUGGGUAUCAAGACUAGCAAAGCUUAAUAGGAAAGGAAGGGGUAAAGUGGUGAGGUUGCAGCAGCGACUAAGCAUAUAUGGUGGCUAACAUACGCAAAAGAGAGCGAGAAGAGAGCAAGCGGAACGGUCGUCAACUAGUGAUGAUCAAGAGGUGAUCCUGAGCUCCUACUUACGUCAAUCAUAACCCAGAAACCGUGUUCACUUCCCGGACUCCGCCGAGAAGAGACCAUCACGGCUACACACGCGGUUGAUGCGUUUUAAUUCGGAUCUGGUGUCAAGUUAUCUACAACCGGACAUUAACAAAUUCCCAUCUGCCACAUAACCGCGGGCAUGGCUUUCGAAAGAUAAUACCCUGCAGGGGUGUCCCAACUUAGCCCAUGAUAAGCUAUCGCGAUCAACGAAGGAUAUUCCUUCUCCCAGGAAGACCCGAUCAGUCUCGGAAUCCCGGUUUACAAGACAUUUUGACAAUGGUAAAACAAGACCAGCAAGACCGCCCGAUGCGCCGACAUCCCGAUAGGAGCUGCACAUAUCUCGUUCUCAGGGCAACACCGGAUAAGCUAAGCGUACAGGUACCGACGUAACCCAAGUUGCCAAGGGUUGGUCCCGCACGGUGCUCUAGUUUGGACCAACACUUAGACAAGCAUUGGCCCGGGGGGGCUAUAAUAAAGAUGACCCUCGAGAGAGCGACUCCCAAGGGAAAAGUAGGUGGUGGUGAAGCAAAUGGUAAAACCAAGGUUGGGCCUUGCUGGAGGAGUUUUAUUCAAAGCGAACUGUCAAGUGGGGUCCCAUAAAUCACCCGACCGCGUAAGGAACGCAAAAUCCGGGAACAUAACACUGGUAUGACGGAAACUAGGGCGGCAAGAGUGGAUCAAAACACCAGACAUAAGGCCGAGCCUUCCACCCUUUACCAAAUAUAUAGAUGCAUUAAUAAUAUAAGAGAUAUUGUGAUAUCCCAACAUAACCCUGUCCACCAUGGAGCAAUCUUCAACUUCACCUGCAACUAGCAACGCUAUAAGAGGGGCUGAGAAAAGCGGUAACAUAGCCAAACAACGGUUUGCUAGGAAGGGUGUCAAAGGUUAGAGGUUCAUGGCAAUUUGGGGAGGCUUGAAGAACAAGUUAUAGGAAGCGCAGCAAAGCGAUAGAACGAUGCAACUAGCAUAGCAAUGAUAGUAGUGAGAUCCAGGGUAGCGGUCAUCUUGCCUGAAGUCCCGCUAGGAAGAAGAACGAGUCCAUGAAGAAGACGAACGGGAGUAGUCGAACGAAUCCUCACAAUCGCAACAUUACCGGGACUAAGAAGCAACACCGGAAAGAAACAAACAACAUGGUAAAUGCACAAGCAUAAACAUGGCAUGAUGCACAAACAAGCAUGAUGCAUGUCCGGUUUAAUGAGGCAUGGCAUGGCAAAGUGCAACAAACAAUACUACAAGUUAAGUGGAGCUCAAUAUGCAACGAGUUGCAUAUUGACAAAACACCACAUCAAUUAUUUAGUUCUCUCUUGGUUAUGCUACUCAUCAAUAUUAAAUGUUGUUAAACAUGGCAAGAGGUGAAGCAUAAUAAAACUACCUAUCUAGGCAAAUUUAAAUGAGGCCGGAAGAACAAACAACAAUUCCGGAAAAUCCCCAUAAGCAAUAUUCGAAUUUGGUACUGUUCUGCCCUAAAACAUAUUUUAAAGUUGUUAAACAGGAAAAUAAAGUGGACCAGGUUAAACUAGGCAUUUUUUCCACCCCAUUUACAUAUAAAGUUUAUUUAAAAC
rnacentral:lncRNA from 1 species